rnacentral:rRNA from 1 species
GAUGAACGCUGGCGGCGUGCCUAAUACAUGCAAGUCGAGCGAACAGACGAGGUGCUUGCUCCUCUGACGUUAGCGGCGGACGGGUGAGUACACCGUGGGAAACCUCCCUUUGAGCGGGGGAAAACUUUUGGAAACGGAUGCUAAUACCGCAUAAAAACUUUAACCACAGGUUUAAAGGUUGAAAGAGGCUUUUGCGUCACUUAAAGAUGAUCCCGCGCCGUAUUAGCUAGUUGGUAAGGUAACGGCUUACCAAGGCGACGAUACGUAGCCGACCUGAGAGGGUGAUCGGCAACAAUGGAACUGAGAAACGGUCCAGCCUCCUACGGGAGGAAGCAGUAGGGAAUCUUCCGAAAUGGGCGAAAGCCUGACGGAGCACGCCCGGGUGAGUGAUGAAGGUUUUCGGAUCGUAAAACUCUGUUAUUAGGGAAGAACAAAUGUGUAAGUAAAUAUGCACGUCUUGACGGUAACUACUCAGAAAGCCACGGCUAACUACGUG